rnacentral:rRNA from 1 species
UACGAAGGGGGCUAGCGUUGCUCGGAAUUACUGGGCGUAAAGGGCGCGUAGGCGGCACUGUUAGUCAGGCGUGAAAGUCCUGGGCUCAACCUGGGAACUGCGCUUGAUACGGCAGAGCUAGAGGAUGGAAGAGGCUCGCGGAAUUCCCAGUGUAGAGGUGAAAUUCGUAGAUAUCGAGAGGAACAUCGGUGGCGAAGGCGGCCUUCUGGACGGUGACUGACGCUGAGACGCGAAAGCGUGGGGAGCAAACAGG